AUUCUGCUGCUAAGCCUCGGUUUAGAUUGAUAAUGGGAUUUUCAGUGCUUAAUUUGGAUGGGCUGCCUGGUCUUGCACCUUUUGAGGAUUCCCAUACAACUAGCUGCAAAUUGAAGUUGUAACAGAGAGCUUUCACCAGUUGAAUAGAGAACUACCUGGUGCAACAUCAGUAGAUGCUUAAGGUGAGGCCCAAUAUUUAACCAAGGAGAUGUUCAAGAAACCAUUUCUGAGAUUUUCAACAACUUUCUUUUGAUUGGAAAAUCGGAGAUAUCACACAAGUAUAGUUUGAUCUACGUAAUCACCAAGCUUGGGUUGCUAUUCGUUUACGACUUGGAAACGACUAUUGCAGUUUACAGAAAUAGAAUCAGUCCAGAUCCAAUUUUCCUAACAUCGGAGGCUUCGUCACUAGGGGAUUUUAUGCAAUUAACAGGCGGGGCCAAGUGUUAUUGGCUACUGUUAAUGAACAAACAAUUGUGCCUUUCGUUAGUGGGCAGGCAUGUAUCACACAUUGGUUUAUCCUUAUGGUUAGUAGAUUAUGAUAAAUAUUUGGAA